rnacentral:rRNA from 1 species
GGGGCAAACGCUGGCUGCGUGCUUAAACAUGCAAGUCGACUCGCUGAAGCCGACAGCUUGCUGUUGGUGGAUGAGUGGCGAACGGGUGAGUAACACGUGAGUAACCUGCCCCUGAUUUCGGGAUAAGCCUGGGAAACUGGGUCUAAUACCGGAUAUGACCUCUCGACGCAUGUUGGGUGGUGGAAAGUUUUUCGAUCGGGGAUGGGCUCGCGGCCUAUCAGCUUGUUGGUGGGGUAAUGGCCUACCAAGGCGACGACGGGUAGCCGGCCUGAGAGGGCGACCGGCCACACUGGGACUGAGACACGGCCCAGACUCCUACGGGAGGCAGCAGUGGGGAAUAUUGCACAAUGGGGGAAACCCUGAUGCAGCGACGCAGCGUGCGGGAUGACGGCCUUCGGGUUGUAAACCGCUUUCAGCAGGGAAGAAGCGAAAGUGACGGUACCUGCAGAAGAAGUACCGGCUAACUACGUGCCAGCAGCCGCGGUAAUACGUAGGGUACGAGCGUUGUCCGGAAUUAUUGGGCGUAAAGAGCUCGUAGGUGGUUGGUCACGUCUGCUGUGGAAACGCAACGCUUAACGUUGCGCGUGCAGUGGGUACGGGCUGACUAGAGUGCAGUAGGGGAGUCUGGAAUUCCUGGUGUAGCGGUGAAAUGCGCAAAAUAUCAAGGAGGAACACCGGUGGCGAAGGCGGACUCUGGGGCUGUAACUGAACUGGAGGAGGAAAGCAUGGGGGAGCGGAAAGGGAUUAAUUCCCCUGGUAGUCCAUGCCGGAAACGGUUGGGCCCUAGGGGUGGGGGAAAUCCCAGGUUCUCCCGCCGUACCUAACGCAUUAAGGGCCCGCCUGGGGGAAUCGGCCCAGGCUUAAACUUAAGGGAUUGACGGGGCCGCCAACGGCGGAGCUGGCGAAUAUUCAUGACACGAAACUUUCAAGGUUGACUAACUGGACCGU